rnacentral:tRNA from 1 species
CAGGACAUAAUUUAAUAAGAAUAUUGGCUUUGGGGGUCAAUAGUGGAGGUUGAAGUCCUUUUGUCUUGA